rnacentral:rRNA from 1 species
GAUGAACGCUGGCGGCGUGCUUAACACAUGCAAGUCGAACGGUGAACGAGGGAGCUUGCUCCCUCCGGAUCAGUGGCGAACGGGUGAGUAACACGUGAGCAAUCUGCCCUGGACUCUGGGAUAAGCGUUGGAAACGACGUCUAAUACCGGAUACGAGGCGUGGGGGCAUCCCCAACGCCUGGAAAGAACUUCGGUCCAGGAUGAGCUCGCGGCCUAUCAGGUAGUUGGUGAGGUAAUGGCUCACCAAGCCUACGACGGGUCGCCGGCCUGAGAGGGUGACCGGCCACACUGGGACUGAGACGCGGCCCAGACUCCUACGGGAGGCAGCAGUGGGGAAUAUUGCACAAUGGGCGAAAGCCUGAUGCAGCAACGCCGCGUGAGGGACGACGGCCUUCGGGUUGUAAACCUCUUUUAGCAGGGAAGAAGCGAAAGUGACGGUACCUGCAGAAAAAGCACCGGCUAACUACGUGCCAGCCGCCGCCGUAACAC